GACGGACGCUGGCGGCGUGCCUAAUACAUGCAAGUAGAACGCUGAAGGAGGAGCUUGCUUCUCUGGAUGAGUUGCGAACGGGUGAGUAACGCGUAGGUAACCUGCCUGGUAGCGGGGGAUAACUAUUGGAAACGAUAGCUAAUACCGCAUAAUAGUAGAUGUUGCAUGACAUUUGCUUAAAAGGUGCAAUUGCAUCACUACCAGAUGGACCUGCGUUGUAUUAGCUAGUUGGUGGGGUAACGGCUCACCAAGGCGACGAUACAUAGCCGACCUGAGAGGGUGAUCGGCCACACUGGGACUGAGACACGGCCCAGACUCCUACGGGAGGCAGCAGUAGGGAAUCUUCGGCAAUGGACGGAAGUCUGACCGAGCAACGCCGCGUGAGUGAAGAAGGGUUUCGGAUCGUAAAGCUCUGUUGUAAGAGAAGAACGAGUGUGAGAGUGGAAAGUUCACACUGUGACGGUAUCUUACCAGAAAGGGACGGCUAACUACGUG
rnacentral:rRNA from 1 species